rnacentral:lncRNA from 1 species
CCUUUUCCAAAGACAAAGCUAGGAAGGACAGAGCUGGAUUUUUUUUUUUUUUUUUUUUUUUUGAGAUGGAGUCUCGCUCUGUCGCCCAAGCUGGAGUACAGUGAUGUGAUCUCAGCUCACUGCAACCUCCACCUCCUCCGCCUCCCAGGGUGCUGGGAUUAUAGGCGUGAGCCACUGCACCUGGCCUCCAACUCCCAACUCCCAAUUCUAUGUGUAAUAUUCCACAGUCAAUUCUGGUAUUCUCCACCUCUCUGCCCCAAGUACCAGUGUUAGCAAGAAAUCUAGAGAUCCCAGCUACCCUGCUAAGGUUUCUGUUAUGGACUAAAUUGUGUCCCCUCAAAAUUUAUAUGUAAAGCCCUACCCACCAAUGGAGACAGGGCCCUUAAGGAAGUAAUUAAUGUUAAAUGAGAUCAUAAGGAUGGGACCCUAAUCCAACAGGACUGGUGCCCUUACAAGGAGAGUAAGUACCACCUCAUCAGGGCCACCCUCAUCUACCAGAGAGCUCUCCCUCUGUCCAUGGGCACACAGAGAAUUGGCCAUGUGAGGACACAGUGAGAAGACAGCCAUCUGCAAACCAGGAAGAGAGUCCUCACCAGAACCCAGCCCUGCCGGCACCUUGAUCUUGGACUUCCAGACUCUGGAACUGUACUAACCAGAAGUUCAAGCUAGGGGUUGGAGAAGGAAGGUCAUACAUACAGAAGCAAGAACCUCAACCCCUAGAACUGCUAUGAAAAUCAAACAAAAUGCUAUUUGUAAGUAGUCUUCCUGUGCUGGACUAAAUUAAAAGAACUUUGCAGCUCUCCCUCUCUCCGUGUUUUCUCAGCCUCUGGAAUCAAGGGCCUUUAUCUCUUCUUCCUAUUCUGUGCUGAGGCUUACCCAUUAGUUCCAUUUCUCUUAACUUUUCUGGCAACCUCAUUUCAAGACUCUGAAUGGUUAUUUAAGACACUGGGCUUUCAUCAGUGGCACCC